AACGAACGCUGGCGGCAUGCCUAACACAUGCAAGUCGAACGGGAUCCUAGCUUGCUAGGUGAGAGUGGCGGACGGGUGAGUAACACGUGGGAAUCUGCCUUUUGGUUCGGGAUAACCGCGGGAAACUGCGGCUAAUACCGAAUGCCCUCGCGAGAGGAAAGAUUUAUCGCCAGAAGAGGAGCCCGCGUCCGAUUAGGUAGUUGGUGGGGUAAAGGCCUACCAAGCCGACGAUCGGUAGCUGGUCUGAGAGGAUGAUCAGCCACACUGGGACUGAGAUACGGCCCAGACUCCUACGGGAGGCAGCAGUGGGGAAUAUUGGACAAUGGGGGCAACCCUGAUCCAGCAAUGCCGCGUGAGUGAUGAAGGCCUUAGGGUUGUAAAGCUCUUUUGCCAGGGAAGAUGAUGACUGUACCUGGAGAAUAAGCUCCGGCUAACUCCGUGCCAGCAGCCGCCGUAAUAC
rnacentral:rRNA from 1 species